UGGGGAAUAUUGCACAAUGGGCGCAAGCCUGAUGCAGCCAUGCCGCGUGUAUGAAGAAGGCCUUCGGGUUGUAAAGUACUUUCAGCGGGGAGGAAGGCGAUAAGGUUAAUAACCUUGUCGAUUGACGUUACCCGCAGAAGAAGCACCGGCUAACUCCGUGCCAGCAGCCGCGGUAAUACGGAGGGUGCAAGCGUUAAUCGGAAUUACUGGGCGUAAAGCGCACGCAGGCGGUCUGUCAAGUCGGAUGUGAAAUCCCCGGGCUCAACCUGGGAACUGCAUUCGAAACUGGCAGGCUAGAGUCUUGUAGAGGGGGGUAGAAUGCCAGGUGUAGCGGUGAAAUGCGUAGAUAUCUGGAGGAAUACCGGUGGCGAAGGCGGCCCCCUGGACAAAGACUGACGCUCAGGUGCGAAAGCGUGGGGAGCAAACA
rnacentral:rRNA from 1 species